CCGGCCUACGGCAGGGACCCGGCCCCGGGCCCCCGGCCGCAGGCUCCCCAAGUCCAACGUGGAGGCUCCGCCUGGAAAAGAAGUCCGACUUCCUCUCCACGCUGCUCCGAGGGGAAUCUGGACUCAGCAGGAAAUUGUUCGAGCGCCCAGCCUGCGCCUUUACAGUCAGCCCUCGCUCUGCUGAAGAGAAGCAGCUCCCACCAAAGUCUUGCCUCCCCCUCCCCCCGAAAGCCCCGCGCAGGUUUGUAAGGAGGGUGCGAGAUCUGCAAAGUAUUUGUCUUCGAGGGAGAAAGAUGUCGGUGACGGUGCCCAAUGAAAGACGGGUGUUUUUUAGCUAGAGAUAACCAACGGGCCACGUCUUGUUUUGCAGUCCAAAAUGAUGCAAACGCUGCCGUCUGAGGAGUCAGUAUCAGGAGUGUAUUAAUUAUGUUAGUGAAAUAGGAAAUAAAUGGGCAGUGACACAUUUCGUGGCAUCAUUUUUCCUCAGGGAUGUCUAAGGUUUUAAGCUUCAUUUAAGAAUGAGCUACGUUCUGCCAGGAAGUAAAUAUUUUUCAGUAACCCCUUGCUAAAGCCCAGAAGAGAGCAAAGAUCCAGUCUAGCAUUCACAGCAGCCACUCACAAGUGUCACUCAUCUUGCAAAACCCAAAGAGGGUAUAAUUACAGUCCCUGCUUUAAGAAUUUUACUCCCUAGUAGUGAGUCUGUGAUAUCAACAUCAUUACCCAGGCAAUGAAGGUCAUAAUGGAUUUUUUUUUCCCUGAAAGAUGAAAAGAACACAGGGGACACGGGUUCGAUCCUUGGUCCGUGAAGAUCCC